CAAAAAGUCCGUUAGCAUCAGAGGCUAACAAUUAGAGGAGCGUCAGAAAAAAAGAUCUAAAACAGGGGAAGUUACAAGAAAAUUUGUAAUGGGAGCUGCUGACAGAGAUGCAGGAAACAGAGCUGGAGUGGAACGGAUCUCCUGUCGAAGGAAGUUCGUGAAGACCGAUUACCUGGACAGAAGUCAGUUCAAGAUCCAGCCUCCACACCAGACUUCUCACUCACAAGGAUUGCUGUCUACUAGAUAUUAUGUGUACUCUUCAGACCUGGGUUCAUACAGAUAUUAUUCAGGGACAUGAACACUUGAAUAUUGCAAAAAUAG